CACAGUGGGACACUAUGAUGAGGCCAGGUGAGUGCACACUGGGACACUAUGAUGAGGUGAGGUGAAUGCACACUAGGACAAUAUGAUGAGGGCAGGUGAGUGCACACUGAUGCACUAUGAUGGGGCUAGGUGUGUGCACACUCUGGCACUAUGAUGAGUCUAGGUGAGUGCACACUGGGGCACUAUGAUGAGGCAGGGUGAACGGACACUGGGACACUAUGAUGAGGCUAGGUGAGUGCACACUGGGACACUAUGAUGCGACCAGGUGAAUGCACACUGGGACAAUAUGAUGAGGCCAGGUGAGUGCACACUGGUGCACUAUGAUGAGGCUAGGUGAGUGCACACUCUGGCAGUAUGAUGAGGCUAGGUGAGUGCACACUGGGGCACUAUGAUGAGGCUAGCUGAGCUGACACUGGGACACUAUGAUGAGGCUAGGUGAGUGCACACUGGGGCACUGUGAUGAGGCCAGGUGAGUGCACACUGGGAUGCU
rnacentral:lncRNA from 1 species